GUUUGUGGAGCGUUUUCAACGAAUUAUGGGUAAAUAAAACACAUUUAUUUAUUUAUUCUAAAGAUAGUUUAUUAACCAAGCCAUAGCAGAAAUACAAUUGUAAGUCCAAGAAAAGACCCACAUGAUAAGAAAAGCCGAAGCUAAGCCGGCCAAUACAGACAAGGAAAUUAAAGCAAGGAAACUAAUAGUACUGUACAAUUGGUUAGAAAAAUUGCUCAUUCCAUUGCCCAUCAGUAGUGUUAGGACAACAAGAACCAAAAAGGGAGGAGGGGGUUCACACUUCACACCCUGAACACUUUAUUUAAACCAAGCUACAAUAUUACAUUACAUAUAGAUACGUACUAUUUCUUCUUCUUCUUCAUUCCGACUUUUUAAUCAUCCAUUUACCAUCCUUAAUAUAUGUAUGAUAAAACUUGUGAUGAACAUAAUUUGGAUAUAACGUAAUUGCUUCAUCUUCAUCAUUGAUAAGUGUAAUACCAUCAUCUGCUAUAAUCAAUCUAAUAACACCACGCAAAUGACUUAUCUUGAAUUUAUACAUGAAUGAUCAUCAUGGAACCAUAAGUUCCAAUCGUCAUCACAAAUAUCAACACAUCUGGCAGUACCCUGAAACUUACAAGUCAGAAAAACACGCAUCUUCCAGUCUCCUGAAUCAUCAAUAUCUUCGUCGAUAUAAAGACCUUCAUUAGUGAAAGCUGAUCCCAUAUCUUUACCACACAUCUCGACUGAAACCGUAUCACUUGAACAGUUGAACAAGGAAAGCAAGCGAACCAUCUUGAUGAUGAACUUGCAGAGGGAGUGAACGAACGAGCCCUAGCUAUAGCUUCUUCCUCACUUUCUUUGAAGAAUAGAAAAGAUAGAUCGAUGAAUGAAAUGAAAGUGCUUGCAGCCCUUUUAUAGCAUUUUUCUCCCUUGUUGAGGAGGCUUAGUAAA
rnacentral:lncRNA from 1 species